rnacentral:rRNA from 1 species
CGGGGUGGAGUAAUGUCUGGGAAACUGCCUGAUGGAGGGGGAUAACUGCUGGAAACGGUAGCUAAUACCGCAUAACGCCGCAAGACCAAAGAGGGGGACCUUCGGGCCUCUUGCCAUCGGAUGUGCCCAGAUGGGAUUAGCUAGUAGGCGGGGUAACGGCUCACCUAGGCGACGAUCCCUAGCUGGUCUGAGAGGAUGCCAGCCACACUGGAACUGAGACACGGUCCAG